GAUUCUUGAUAUGAUGUUUGUAACUUUCAGCAAGCAAAUUCAUUGCGAUGAUGUUUACCUUUCUCAGCUGAAAAGAAAAGCUUGUCUGUGUGAGAGUUUCCCAGCUUCUUUGUCAAGGAAAACUCCGUGACGCAUAUGGAACUCGGUGAAGGAUAAGACUUAAAAUAAUUAAUCCCAAUCUGUCAACCGGCAACAGACGAUUCUUUAGAUUUUUCUGGGACUGCAACCUCCUUCUCUGAGUUACUUGAAUCGACCAUGUUAGCCUGACUUGGUUGCACCUGGCUUAUAUUUUGAGCAUCUAAGGUGAUCCCUAAAACAGUCAACACAGCCCUUGGGAGUG
rnacentral:misc_RNA from 1 species